rnacentral:rRNA from 1 species
AUACGGAGGGUGCAAGCGUUGUUCGGAAUUACUGGGCGUAAAGGGCGCGCAGGCGGUUUGGUAAGUCAGAUGUGAAAGUCCAGGGCUUAACCCUGGAAGUGCAUAUGAAACUGUCAGACUUGAGUAUCAGAGGGGAAAGUGGAAUUCCCGGUGUAGAGGUGAAAUUCGUAGAUAUCGGGAGGAAUACCGGUGGCGAAGGCGACUUUCUGGCUGAAUACUGACGCUGAGGCACGAAAGCGUGGGGAGCGAACAGGAUUAGAUACCCCAGUAGUCC